AUGCGUUGAUCUGCAUACGACGGCUUGGAAAGUGACCCCAGGAUGGGCGAGGACACCCGCUG
rnacentral:rRNA from 1 species